AUUGAACGCUGGCGGCAGGCCUAACUCAUGCAAGUCGAGCGAGCGGCGGACGGGUGAGUAAUGUCUGGGAAACUGCCUGAUGGAGGGGGAUAACUACUGGAAACGGUAGCUAAUACCGCAUACCAUCAGAUGUGCCCAGAUGGGAUUAGCUAGUAGGUGGGGUAACGGCUCACCUAGGCGACGAUCCCUCGCUGGUCUGAGAGGAUGACCAGCCAAACAGGAACGGAGACACGGUCCAGACUCCUACGGGAGGCAGCAGAGGGGAAUAUUGCACAAUGGGCGAAAGCCUGAUGCAGCCAUGCCGAGUGUGUGAGGAGGGCCUUCGGGUUGUAAAGCACUUUCAGCGGGGAGGCGUUACCCGAAGAAGAAGCACCGGCUAACUCCGUGCCAGCAGCCGCGGUAAUAC
rnacentral:rRNA from 1 species